GGAUUGUGGCUCAGCGGUAGAGCACUUACCUAGCAUGUGUGAGGCCCUGGGUUCAAUCCUCAGCACCA
rnacentral:tRNA from 1 species